UGGGGUGGCAAACUUUGUGCGAGGACCGUGCCGCCCCUCUUCCGCGUGGCGUCCGAGAGGAACAUGGGUGGGUUUCACAUCAGAGGCCUGACCACACCCUCCCACUUAUCUAGGCCUCGGACCUCAACCGCGUGGACUACGCAGCAGAGGGAAACACUUCAGGCCACUCCGGGAGGGGGGCACCGAAGUCAGGCGUCCUCAAGCGCUCUGGCUGCUGACCAAGUUCGUGUUCUUUCCAUCCCACGCCGGAGUAGCGCUCGCUACUUCGGGGAAGCGUGAAACUCCUCAUUCCCGGCCACGAGGCCACCCCUGUCUUUAAGACCACAUAAGGAACACCAUGAUCGUACAUCUGUGCAGCUUGUUUCAGAGUCCCAGCCCUCACCAGCUGUGAGGUCACAUCUCUUGGAAGGCAGUCAUCUACCUCAACCAACAGCUUGGAGAUGGCUGGGCAGUAGGACCACAUCUGCCAUUUGAACAGCCUACCACUGCUGCUCUGGGCUGUCCAGCUCCUUCCAGUGCUCCAAGAGAGGAUGCGAUUUUAAAAAAUGCAUAUAUUCAGGCAUCUGCUGAAUUGAAGCGAACAAUGUGAAUAAGUGAAGCAGGUUCCGAGGCCAGGGCAGGCCAGGGAGCAUGUGUGCCUCUGCUGGGAACCAGUGUGCUGGGUCUUCUGAUUCUUCAGGAGAUGCCGGAAAUAUGGAUUUUUAUGGGAAAACUUCCAAUUUUAAAAUGCUGGCAACUCAUUCAAAAAACUGACUCUCUGAAGCAACGCCAAGAGCACAGGGCUGGCCACCAAACGGAGCCCUGCUAACCUGCCCUCGAGGGCCCUUGGACUUGAUGCCAACCUUGAGCCUCAGUGCCCUCAGCCUGCAUUUGUGGAGUCUGAACUGGGUCCACAGCUGUUCUGCCUCAGUGUGGGGCCAAGGCUAACAAAAAGCAAAGCCUCUGGAAGAAGAGGAAGUGUUCUCUGGAUGCUGAAUGGGAGACCUUGAGGAGACGAAGAAGAUGAAGAUCAGAGGGGCUAAGUCACUUGCCCAGAACCGUGCAGCCAGCAAGUUGGGUUGCCAGGACUUCAAACAGCAGCUACAUCUCCAGCCUGCUUCCUGCACCUGGUGGGGGACACAGUGCUUCUCCGCCUUCAGGAAACAGCCCACUUGUCAGCAGCUGGGCUCCCAGGAACAAAGGCCUAGGUUCAUUACCACAGUAUCGACCCUGACACGUUGCACUCGGGCCACCUCCCCCAGAGUUCCUCAAUUCACACCCCAAAUGAAGCGUAAUUGGACCUGGACAUCUUUGAAGUCCCCCGAGCAGCUUGCCAGCAUUUUGAAAUGUCCUUGAUUUGCAUGGUGAAAACCUGGCUGGAGGUGACUUUUUUUCUUUUCCCUCAUCCCACAGUUUUCAAGACAGAAUGAUUUUAAAUGACAUUCCCCAGCCAGGGGAGAGUUACCAUGGAAGAAAUAAAAAUUCUCAAAGCCCCAAAAAGAAAAGGCAAAAGAAGUCCAAGGUUUUGCUGCAUCUCUCACGUGCCCCUUUGCUCGAUUUCUGUCCUGUGAGGGCCGCGCCAGGGUUUCCUCUCAACCUUCUUCCCAGACCCCAGACCUGAAGGGCUGACAAGGAUCCAGGAAGCUUGGCUGGGAGUUUCUGCAGACCGGCAGGUUGCUGUCAGACCUGAAGCAAGAAUGCGAGCCCCACCACAGGCCGGGUGAAGAAGCAAGCUCUGCCCACUGUAGAUUCUCCAGGAGCAUUUGUCUACUGUGGAGUGAAUCAGAAGUCGCGCCCUCCCUCUGACAGCUGCAGGAGGAGAGGGUGGAGGAAUCAUCUAGGGAAUGUGAGGGGAGUGGGGGCCACGUGGUGAGGAGGGAAGUUCUCCCUUGUCCCUUUCGAAGGCCCCUGGGGAUGUGGCCGAGGAGCCCAGGCCUGCGAAGUUGUGGUGGAGGAAGGAAGCUGUGUGGUAAUGUGGUUAGAGCUCAGCAAGCCGGGCUCCAAAAGCCAGUGCUGUUAGGUGACUGGUGUGCACCCGUUUCCUCUUGACCAAAACUGGAAUGACUUCUGGGCUGGUUAUGGGGAUUAAGGGAGAUCAGUUUAAAAAUCACAUUUGGAAAAGUGGACCCUCUGUGCAUAAGAACAGCCACAGAGAGAAACAACAACAAAGACGAACGGGUUGAAAAAGGCAAGUCCUUCCAUUCCCCUCCACAUUUGUCUCUCAUCUCAGGAUUCCGAUCAUCCCCACUGGCCUUUUCCACGAUGUCUAGAGUUGUAAAAUGGGCCCCAACGCAGAAGAAUACAUGGCCUUUCGGUGAGGAUUUUCAACUGAAUAUCGCCUGGGUUCUGGAGCAGUUAGAGGAAGGAAGUGGGUAGAAGUUUACCAUGUCUGCCCUUGAAGGGACCUUGGAGGGCAUCUAUUUGGUCCAGCCCAGCCCACUGAAGGGCAGGAUUUCCUCGCAGUUGAGAGCACAGAGUUAGAGCCAGACAGCCCUGGGUUGAACUAGUUCUCCACCACGUCCUCACUGUGUGGCCUUGGAUGAGUUUACUAACCUCUGCCUUAGUUUCCUCAUCUGUCAAAUGGGGAAGAUGAUCAUCAUACUACCUCAGAAGAUUGUAGCAAGGACGAAAUGAAUUAACAUGUAAAGAAAGCAUCAGGAAGAGCACGAAGCAUCCAGUGAGCAUUUGAUAAGAGAAGGAAAUCAGGCUCAGAGGAGAAGCAACCUCCCCAGGGUCACUUGGGGAGUUGCCAAACUGAGCUGGACUCGGU
ensembl:lncRNA